CUCCGCCGCUCCCCCGCCCCCCGCCCCGCAAACCGCAAACAGGCACAGACGGGUAGUAUCCAGGGACAGGUGGGCAGAGCUGGGGCCAGUGCCUGGCGUCUGUCAGGGGUGUCCGCCAGGGCCCAUGCUUCCGGAGGCGGGGACAGCGGGAAGUCACAAAGUGUUCCCCGUGUCGCUUGACAGGUGUGGCCUGCUGGGCGGGAAUCCUGCCCCAGCACGCCGGUUCUCCCGGACAACCUGGGGUUGCAGCAGCCAUCAGUGCCUGCCUGCCUGCCCGCCUGCCUCUCACCCGGAGAGGUCAAGGUGAGCCCGCAGAGAAAGCUCCGGUGUCUCUAGAAGCAGGCGAGCUGCGGAGCGCCCCCUCCCAGCGGUUGUCACGCUGGAAGGUGCGUGGGAACACCUGGAGGGCUCGUUCCAAGCCAGGUGGCCGCCGGGCCCCACCCCAGAGCCUCUGAUCCUGCAGCUCUAGGGUGGGGCCUGAGAGGUGGGGACUCCAGCAAGCUCCUGGGUGAUGCCCGUGCCACCGCCGCUGGUCCGGGGACCCCCCCUACCCCCCCGUGCGAAGCACUGCUCUGGAGGUGGUGGCUCCUAGGUGUGUGCCCCCUGCCCUACCCCGGACCGGCUCCUUUGCGGGGUCCCCAGGGCCUUGGGAAAUGGCGGGGGGGGGGCGCCUCUCGCGAGAGCAGCGCGGCUGUCAUCGCCACCCCUCCCUGCCCCGGGGGCCCUGGAAGGUGCCUGGCCGCCCACCGCCCGCCCGGGCAGGAUGAGGCGUCAGGCUUUUCCGAAGGGCUUCUGGGGUUUCUCCGGGGCUUGUUGGCCUGCCACUGACUUAGCGGGGCGCCGCCUCCUUCGAAAGUCACCGAGCGUUCGUUACCCGUUGCUGCAUCACACGUCUACCCCCAGGAGCCGCGCAGCGCGGCCGGCGCUCGAGGUCUCGCAGGUGUCUGAGGGCCAGGGUCCUGGAGGGCUUGGCUGGGGCUCCUGGCUGGAGGUGUGUCACAGGCUGCCGUCGAGUGGGGGCGUGUGGCGACGAGAUCGGGGCGGCGGCGGGGGGGUGGGGGAGGGGAGGCUCUGCUUCCAGGAUCGCUGGCGGGGCUGUGGCGGGGCCGGGGCCUCCCCACCGGGCCGCUGGGGGCCGGGCUCCCCCAGAGCCAGCGAUCUGGGCGAGACAGAGCCGCCCCCGGGGCCAAGGCACGGUGCCGGUCUGAUGACUUCACCUCCAAGUGACCCUCCCUCCCCUCGGCUGGAUCUUGAUGGGUCACACAGGCCCAAGCCGGGAGCAGUGCAGGAGGGCCCGGCCAAUGAGAAGGCUCCAGGGAGCAUCCUUGCUCCUGAACCUGGCGCGGGAGGGGCUCCUGGUCCGCGCAGGCCCCUCGGGAGCGGGACCCUGUCCUCCGUCUGCGUGGGGGUGGCAGGUUCCAGCCCCCGGGACCAAGACAGGCAGGGCGUGUCACCCUUAGAUGGUCGCGGACAGGACACACGAAAAGCCAGAGAAAGAACAUGUGACCGAGCCCCUGCCUGGCCCCCACGGCCCGAGGUGUGUGCCCCCUGCCCUCUGCCCUUGCGGAGGAGCUGGCAGCCCUGGUGGCACAUGGACGAUCCCGGGGCUGGUUGGCACCUGGAGCCGCAGCCAGGCCGGGUCCUUAACCCACUGAGCGAGGCCACGGAUCGAACCCACGUGCUCCUGGAGACUAUGUUGGGUCCUUACCCCGCUGAGCUACAGUGGGAACUCCCAGGGAGCUCUUUCUUAUCCCAGCAGCCCACGCGCUGCCAGUGCCACCUCCGCCCGCACCCUGGCCUGGGCCCCAGGAUGCUCAUUGGCCUCCGAGGUCCCCCCCCCCGCCGCCCAGUGACUCAGUCCUGCCCCGCUCCUGUCCUUCCCUGAGGGGGCUGGGGCAGUUCCCCUGCCCGAGGGUGGGUACCCCCUCUCUGCACAUGGGUGCGCUAUGCUCCCUCCUUUGGCGCUGCCCCCCCCCCGCCCCCGCCUGCCCUCUGGGGGAACCUGUCAGCAGCCAGGCCCUGGAGUGGGAUGAGCCACA
rnacentral:lncRNA from 1 species